GAUGAACGCUGGCGGCGUGCCUAAUACAUGCGAGUCGAGCGAACGGACGAGAAGCUUGCUUUUCUGAUGUUAGCGGCGGACGGGUGGGUAACACGUGGAUAACCUACCUAUAAGACUGGGAUAACUUCGGGAAACCGGAGCUAAUACCGGAUAAUAUUUUGAACCGCAUGGUUCAUAAGUGAAAGACGGUCUUGCUGUCACUUAUAGAUGGAUCCGCGCUGCAUUAGCUAGUUGGUAAGGUAACGGCUUACCAAGGCAACGAUGCAUAGCCGACCUGAGAGGGUGAUCGGCCACACUGGAACUGAGACACGGUCCAGACUCCUACGGGAGGCAGCAGUAGGGAAUCUUCCGCAAUGGGCGAAAGCCUGACGGAGCAACGCCGCGUGAGUGAUGAAGGUCUUCGGAUCGUAAAACUCUGUUAUUAGGGAAGAACAUAUGUGUAAGUAACUGUGCACAUCUUGACGGUACCUAAUCAGAAAGCCACGGCUAACUACGUG
rnacentral:rRNA from 1 species